UACGGAGGGUGCAAGCGUUAUCCGGAUUCACUGGGUUUAAAGGGUGCGUAGGAGGGCAGGUAAGUCAGUGGUGAAAUCUCCGGGCUUAACUCGGAAACUGCCGUUGAUACUAUCUGUCUUGAAUAUUGUGGAGGUGAGCGGAAUAUGUCAUGUAGCGGUGAAAUGCUUAGAUAUGACAUAGAACACCAAUUGCGAAGGCAGCUCGCUACACAUAUAUUGACUCUGAGGCACGAAAGCGUGGGUAGCAAACAGG
rnacentral:rRNA from 1 species